AUUGAACGCUGGCGGCAUGCUUUACACAUGCAAGUCGGACGAGUGGCGAACGGGUGAGUAACGCAUCGGAACGUACCGAGUAAUGGGGGAUAACUGUCCGAAAGGACAGCUAAUACCGCAUAUUAUUCGAGCGGCCGAUGUCUGAUUAGCUGGUUGGCGGGGUAAAGGCCCACCAAGGCGACGAUCAGUAGCGGGUCUGAGAGGAUGAUCGGCAAGACGGGGACGGAGACAGGGCCCAGAGUCCUACGGGAGGCAGCAGGGGGGAAUUUUGGACAAUGGGCGAAAGCCUGAUCCAGCCAUGCCGCGUGGAUGAAGAAGGCCUUCGGGUUGUAAGGGACUGUUGUCAGGGAAGCGGUACCUGAAGAAUAAGCACCGGCUAACUACGUGCAAGCAGCCGCGGUAAUUC
rnacentral:rRNA from 1 species